GACGAACGCUGGCGGCGUGCUUAACACAUGCAAGUCGAACGGAAAGGCCCUGCUUUUGUGGGGUGCUCGAGUGGCGAACGGGUGAGUAACACGUGAGUAACCUGCCCUUGACUUUGGGAUAACUUCAGGAAACUGGGGCUAAUACCGGAUAGGAGCUCCUGCUGCAUGGUGGGGGUUGGAAAGUUUCGGCGGUUGGGGAUGGACUCGCGGCUUAUCAGCUUGUUGGUGGGGUAGUGGCUUACCAAGGCUUUGACGGGUAGCCGGCCUGAGAGGGUGACCGGCGACAUUGGGACUGAGAUACGGCCCAGACUCCUACGGGAGGCAGCAGGGGGGAAUAUGGCACAAUGGGCGGAAGCCUGAUGCAGCAACGCCGCGGGCGGGAUGACGGCCUUCGGGUUGUAAACCGCUUUAGCCUGUGACGAAGCGUGAGUGACGGUAAUGGGUAAAGAAGCACCGGCUAACUACGUG
rnacentral:rRNA from 1 species